rnacentral:lncRNA from 1 species
ACACCAACCAGUGCCAAAUAGAGUGUGAUAAAAAAUAGUCUGUGAAGGAAACAAUAGAGUGAGCAAUAUUUUUAGUAAGGUGUGGUAGUCAUUUGACUACGGUGUAAAAUUCCUUACCGGGUAUUUUAGUAAGGUGGGAAUUGAAAUUUUGAGUGUGUAAUAGUCACUUUGAAUAUUGUAUUUUUGACUCCUAUUGUUCUUGUUGUUUAACCGUAUUACCAUUUUAGUAAUUAUUGCUCUUUAUUACCGCAAUAUUAUUUUCGUGGCGGGAUUUAUUCCCAACACGGGCUGCCCUUUAACGUUGAAGUUGGUGGACCGGUGAAGGAUCCAAAUGACAUGUUGUAAAUACAGACAGGCUGUGUGCCUGAGGUUAAACCAGGAAGAAGCCCAAGAAUUAGACAGACCAACGAUAGAUUUGCUUGCGAUUCGAAUAAUAUAGGAACAAAACUAUUCACAAGAUGGGAUUGUACAUUUUUAUGGAUGAAACGACAUUUAAGAUGGGGAAAUGAUUGAAUUUGCUAGCAAUGUGAAAGAAAUAGCCUUUAAUCUCGAAAAUAAGAAUGAUUUUGCUCCUCUACAAUUUGUGAUCCCAUGUUUGGAUGUGCCAUGAGGGAAUAUUGCCACGAUAAUCAAAUAUCGUCAAAUGUCAUUAUUACUAUUAUUAUUAGUGAGGCUUUCGCAAGGGAUGUUUUCUUUUUUACAUUCUCGACUCUUAUAAUGAGAGACCAAACAAUCAAAAUUAGACAGGUGCAAGUAGCUUAACCGCCUUAUCCAUAAUUGAAACUAUAUCCGUCACACUGAAAAUACGUAUGUCAAAAACCCAUGCAACAUAGUCAUACCCAGGGUUUUGAUCUAGGGGUAAGAGCGGACUUGUGAAUUAGGUGCACGUGACAUGUUCGAACCUUGCAACAGACAAAAUCGUUUCUCCACUUCUAACAUUUCUUUUUUGAUCUGCUUUGAAUUGUUUUACUGGGUAUAUUAUUGUUGCUGUAGCAUGAAUUAUUUAGUGAAGGUACAUUUGUGCCGAAAAAAUGAUCUUACAUAGAUUGUCAUAUCAUGUGAUAAAAUAACAUGUAAUGGACUAAAAACAAUAUAUGUCAGAUGUAAUUUAAGGUAUUCGGUAAAAACUGAAAUAUGUAGUUGAAUUUUACAUUUGGAAUCAAUAAGUACCAAGCAGUAGCUCACAUUCAUGUCUCUCUACUCGCUUAUAUUCUUCAUCUUAGAUACCAAGUGAAUGUGAUAAAGUACAAUAAAAUAGAGAGGCAACCUAUGGAACAGACAGUAACGGCAAGACCAAGUGAAUGUGAUAAAGUAGCAAACAUACUAGUCGCAAAUGCAAUUACAACUGCUAACAUUGACACGCACUGAUAAAUACC